GAUGAACGCUGGCGGCGUGCUUAACACAUGCAAGUCGAACGCUGAAGCCCAGCUUUUGUUGGGUGGAUGAGUGGCGAACGGGGGAGUAACACGUGAGUAACCUGCCUCCUUCUUUGGGAUAACGCCCGGAAACGGGUGCUAAUACUGGAUAUUCACUGGUCUUCGCAUGGGGGCUGGUGGAAAGGGUUUUUCUGGUGGGGGAUGGGCUCGCGGCCUAUCGGCUUGUUGGUGGGGUGAUGGCCUACCCAGGCCUUGACGGGUAGCCGGCCUGAGGGGGUGCCCUGGAACAUAGGGACGGCGAAGAGGCCCACACUCCUACGCGGGGCAGAAGUGGGGAAUAUGGCAGAAUGCGUGAAAGCCUGAUGCCGCGACGCCGAAUGAGGGAUGGGGGCCGUCGAGUUGUGAACCUCUUUAGCUCAAGGUCAAGCCGCAACAAUGGUUGUGGUGAGGGUAGUGAGUAAAGAAGCGCCGGCUAACUACGUG
rnacentral:rRNA from 1 species